UACAGAGGUCUCAAGCGUUGUUCGGAUUCAUUGGGCGUAAAGGGUGCGUAGGUGGCGCCGUAAGUCAGGUGUGAAAUUUCGGAGCUUAACUCCGAAACUGCAUUUGAUACUGCGGUGCUUGAGGACUGGAGAGGAGACUGGAAUUUACGGUGUAGCAGUGAAAUGCGUAGAGAUCGUAAGGAAGACCAGUGGCGAAGGCGGGUCUCUGGACGAGUUCC
rnacentral:rRNA from 1 species